UGACAUAACCUGGUUGUAUUCUAUAUUUACUGAAACAAGAACUAAGGCUUAAGUGUAUUCCCUGUCAAUCAUCCAUAUCCCACAAAUACUAACAUAGAGAGGGAGUAAGGAGUUGAACUUGUAAGAGUUAUGGAACCUCGGUUGGCAACUAACUGGACAGAUUCAGACAUAGACUUAAGAACAUAUCUGAACCAGCUAUAACCUUCACCGCGAACCAGAUAAAAGGCAUGAACCAAUACCAGUCACUCCAACCAAUACCAAAUUUAUCACAAAUUCAACCCACCAGCUACCCUAGUCCAAGAUCUAAAGACACAAAAUUAAAAUCCGAAAGAAAGACCGCAAACAAGAGAAGCUCGAGACUGUGUAAGACCUUAAACCACUGCAAAGACUACUACGAUACCCAAGCCUUCCGCUUCUUCAACCC
rnacentral:lncRNA from 1 species